GUGGGGAAUAUUGGACAAUGGGGGGAACCCUGAUCCAGCCAUGCCGCGUGUGUGAAGAAGGCCUUUUGGUUGUAAAGCACUUUAAGUGGGGAGGAGGCUUACCUGGUUAAUACCUGGGCUAAGUGGACGUUACCCACAGAAUAAGCACCGACUAACUCUGUGCCAGCAGCCGCGGUAAUACAGAGGGUGCGAGCGUUAAUCGGAUUUACUGGGCGUAAAGCGCGCGUAGGUGGCCAAUUAAGUCAAAUGUGAAAUCCCCGAGCUUAACUUGGGAAUUGCAUUCGAUACUGGUUGGCUAGAGUAUGGGAGAGGAUGGUAGAAUUCCAGGUGUAGCGGUGAAAUGCGUAGAGAUCUGGAGGAAUACCGAUGGCGAAGGCAGCCAUCUGGCCUAAUACUGACACUGAGGUGCGAAAGCAUGGGGAGCAAACAGGAUUAGAUACCCCUGUAGUCC
rnacentral:rRNA from 1 species